CUACGGGACGCACCAGUGAGGAAUAUUGCACAAUGGAGGAAACUCUGAUGCAGCAACGCCGCGUGGAGGAUGACGCAUUUCGGUGUGUAAACUCCUUUUAUAUGUCAAGAAAAUGACGGUAGCAUAUGAAUAAGCACCGGCUAACUCCGUGCCAGCAGCCGCGGUAAUACGGAGGGUGCAAGCGUUACUCGGAAUCACUGGGCGUAAAGGACGCGUAGGCGGGAUAUCAAGUCAGGUGUGAAAUCCUACAGCUUAACUGUAGAACUGCACUUGAAACUGGUAACCUAGAGUAUGGGAGGGGGAGAUGGAAUUAGUGGUGUAGGGGUAAAAUCCGUAGAUAUCACUAGGAAUACCUAAAGCGAAGGCGAUCUCCUGGAACAUAACUGACGCUAAGGCGUGAAAGCGUGGGGAGCAAACAGGAUUAGAUACCCGGGUAGUC
rnacentral:rRNA from 1 species